rnacentral:rRNA from 1 species
GGAGAAGUGAAAACACAGGGAUUAUUUAUACAUGUUAGUGGAGGCGAACAAGUGAGUAAAAUUAGUAACUAUCUAAUUGGUAUCAGGGUGAGUACAAUAACAAGUGCUUUAACCUAAGACACCUAGCUCUUAUAGCCACGUUCUAGAUGUAAUAAUAUGGAAUUUCAGACAGCAGUAAAGAGUCCUAUACAAUUAACUAAAGUUAGAUAUGGUUACCACCUGUAGUUUUGUCUAAUUAAGUGCCAGCAGACGCGGUUAAACUUAAGAAGCUAGUUUUCACGUAAAAUUAGGUUAUUAGAUGCGUAGGGAUUCAUAAAAGUAUUUUGAAAGUUUUUGAUUUGGUUAAAUAAACAAAGACCUUAAAACCAAGGUUUAAUUAAUAAUACAAUGAACUCUUAAGCAUGAAUUAAGAAACCUCAAAUAGGAUUAGAUACCCUAGUAGAUUCUUAUGUAAACGGAUAUAGUCAACCUGAAUAGUAUACUCUUAAGAGUGAAAAUCAAAAAUUCUGGCUGUUUACUUUCCAGUUAGAGGAAUAUGUAGUUUAAUUUGAUAAUCCGCAAAAAACCUUACCUAUUCUUGAAUUGCAGGUGCUGCAUGGUCGUCUAAAAUUUAAAUUUUUAAUUUGAAUUCAAACCGAUAGGUUUAAGUCAGAUAUUAUGGCCCUUAUGAUUAGGUAUACUAUGUAUUACAAUUAUUAAAUUAAGAUAAAGUUAGAACUGAAUGAGUAUUGCAAUCUACUCAGUAAAGAGAAUUUAAAAGUAAAUGAAGAUAGAAGGCUUCAUUGAACAGGUUCAAGUAUGAGUACAAAUUGCCCGUCGCCUUUACUUAUGAUAUUAAAUUAGAAGUAGAGUAAGUCGUAACAUAGUGGGGGG